CUUGACCGAACCGAGCCGCAGCGGCCGGUCCGCCGGCCGGUCCCUGCCGUACGUCGCCAUCAGCGCGUGCGCCUC
rnacentral:antisense_RNA from 1 species